CGUCUUUGGCGCCCUGGUUUCUGAUUGGCUGCCCGGCGACGGAUUUUGUGAUUGGCUGAACGUUCGACGAAGGUGGUACGAGACAGUUUAAGCAGGUAUAUCACCGCCCGCUGCUUCUCAUAAGCCGUCACAUCCGAGCGAGAACGCAGCAAACAGGUCGUGAUCUCGCAAACGAACCCUUGAGCCACAAUGGUCGUCACUUCCCGCAUGCUCGCCGCCCACACCAGCGGCUACCCCGUGGACGUCAGAGCUCGCUUCUGGUCCAACUACUACAGAUCACUCAAAGGUCAGGCUGCCGCCCGUGAAACCUACUGGGACUUCAGAUAUCACCAACGAAGAGAGUCGCCCCCGCGUUUCAGAGUCGUAUCAUCCCGUGGUGGCAUCACGUCCCAGAGCUCCGGCCCGCUGACGCUCCCCAAGAGUACCUACCCGUUGGUGCUCAACACGAUCUCGCCGUCCGUCCGUCCUUCCUGUCACCUGUGAAGCGGAAUUACGUGUGGACGACGCAUCCGCAGCGACAGGCUAUUCGCUGAAGAAGUAGACGAGGUCUCUUGCUGCAAAUAAAUAAAUUAAUUAUAUAUUAUAACAACAUAUUUUUUCAUCCAGAUUGUACUUCAACAUUUCUUCUCAUUGCAACUUGUCAUCAUAUGUAAUAUAUGCUGUCUUAGGAAUUUCCUUUCAUGAACCAUUAGAUUUAUAAAAAACAAUUUUCGGAUAUUCAUCUGUGUGGCGGACUUAUCAUAGAGUACUAGAGCAGUUCAGAGAGUAGUAUUCCCUUCUUUGGUGUGUCUAAAGCAACAUGAUUUUAUCAUUCAUGAGGUAUGUGGCAGGGUUAAGGUACGGGAAUCAGGCAUGUAGUAUUUUCUUUUCCUAAUUCUCGGAACAAUGGGUGAGCUGAAACAUUUAGGUAUUCAAUCGAACCAAGAAUGUCAUCCCAUCAUUCUUGCUAAUCUUUGCUGGAAUUCGCGUCAUGUAAUGUUCUGUAGACCAUUUGGUCAAACUCGUGUUGCAGUCGUGUAAAAACCAUUGAAAAAUUAUACAUGAAUAAAUCUUAGAGAGGCAAAAA